rnacentral:rRNA from 1 species
CAAUAGCGUAUAUUAAAGGUGUUGCAGUUAAAAAGCUCGUAGUUGGAUUUCGGGGCAGCCUGGCUGGUCCGCCGCAAGGCGAGUACUGGUCAGCCGCCCUUCCUCUCGAAAGCCCCGACUGCUCUUCGUUGCAGUGGUCGGGUAGUUCGGGACGUUUACUUUGAAAAAAUUAGAGUGUUCAAGGCAGGCCUACGCCUGAAUACAUUAGCAUGGAAUAAUGGAAGAGGACCUCGGUCCUAUUUUGUUGGUUUCCAGGGCCGAAGUAAUGAUUAAGAGGGACAGUUGGGGGCAUUCGUAUUUAAUUGUCAGAGGUGAAAUUCUCGGAUUUAUGAAAGACGAACAACUGCGAAAGCAUUUGCCAAGGAUGUUUUCAUUAA